rnacentral:tRNA from 1 species
UGGGUCUAUGGCGCAGCCAGGUAGCGCACCGGACUCUUAAUCCGGUUGUCAAGGGUCCGAAUCCCUUUAGACCCGCUUU